GCGCGAGCAGGUGCGAAAGCAGGUCAUAGUGAUCCGGUGGUUCUGAAUGGAAGGGCCAUCGCUCAACGGAUAAAAGGUACUCCGGGGAUAACAGGCUGAUACCGCCCAAGAGUUCAUAUCGACGGCGGUGUUUGGCACCUCGAUGUCGGCUCAUCACAUCCUGGGGCUGAAGUAGGUCCCAAGGGUAUGGCUGUUCGCCAUUUAAAGUGGUACGCGAGCUGGGUUUAGAACGUCGUGAGACAGUUCGGUCC
rnacentral:rRNA from 1 species